rnacentral:rRNA from 1 species
UACGUAGGGUGCAGGCGUUAAUCGGAAUUACUGGGCGUAAAGCGUGCGCAGGCGGUUUGCUAAGACAGGUGUGAAAUCCCCGGGCUUAACCUGGGAACUGCGCUUGUAACUGGCAAGCUUGAGUGUGGCAGAGGGGGGUGGAAUUCCACGUGUAGCAGUGAAAUGCGUAGAGAUGUGGAGGAACACCGAUGGCGAAGGCAGCCCCCCGGGCUAACACUGACGCUCAUGCACGAAAGCGUGGGGAGCAAACAGG